rnacentral:lncRNA from 1 species
UUGUGAGGUGCAAUUUGGGUAUUAGGUUUGAAUUGGGUCUGUAAUUGGUUAUGGAGCUAGGGUGUAUUGGGUUCAUGGUUUAUUUUAUUGGACUAUUAUUGUACAUUUUAUUUUAUUUUUAUUUUUAUUUAGUUUUAAUAAGCCCGGGUAAAAUUUGUUAUUACAUCAUCAUCUAACAAGGAAGAGGAUGCGACAGCUGCAUCACCAGUAAUAGUAGAACCCUGCAAAACAUAUAACUCG